ACGACCUUACUUGAACAGGAUCUGUUCUAUAGGCUCGUACCUCUGUAUCCUUUAGCACAAAGGAGACAGGCUCCCAAGUCUGGUUGAUGAAUCAUGGCCUUGUGAUCUGAGCGUGAUUAACAGCUUUCAUGGUUCCUGGUGAUCAAUAGAAGCAGUAGAGGAUCGUUACCCAGCUGGUGUCCAGUUGGGAUGGUCACAAGGUUGUCUGACAGACU
rnacentral:snoRNA from 2 species